AGAAUCAACGCUGGCGGCGUGCCUAACACAUGCAAGUCGAACGAGAAAGUGGAGCAAUCCAUGAGUAAAGUGGCGACCGGGUGAGUAACACGUGACUAACCUACCCUCGAGUGGGGAAUAACUCCGGGAAACCGGGGCUAAUACCGCAUAACAUCUUCGGAACGCGAGUUCUGUUGAUCAAAGGAGCAAUUCGCUUGAGGAGGGAGUCGCGGCUGAUUAGCUAGUUGGCGGGGUAAUGGCCCACCAAGGCUUAGAUCGGUAGCCGGCCUGAGAGGGGCGCGACGGACCGACGACCUGGAACUGAAACACGGUCCAGACUCCUACGGAGGCAGCAGUGGGGAAUUUUGCGCAAUGGGGGAAACCCUGACGCAGCAACGCCGCGUGGAGGAUGAAGUCCCUUGGGAUGUAAACUCCUUUCGACCGGGAAGAUACUGACGGUACCGGUGGAAGAAGCACCGGCUAACUCUGUGCCAGCAGCCGC
rnacentral:rRNA from 1 species